UUUUCGUGUGCUUGCUUCUGUAGUUCUUUCAUCUCUGUGUCUAUUUUUCUUUGCUUAUCUCCUCUUUCGUCUAGAUAAUUGAAACAAGAACCCUAAAACCUCUGUGUCCACAACUUCUGGAUUGUUCUAACUCUAGCAUUUCACUGUAGAUAUUCUUAUUCCAUAUUUCAAUUGCAAGCUGGUGACAGAUGGUGAGGGAGAACAUGUUGCCCAUGUUGUUGGAUAUGGAGAAAGUAUCAAUGAUAGUGCUCCUAAAAAUUUUGUGAAAAGAAAACUGAAAGUGUCUGGGAGUGAGCUUUAUGAAGAUGCAGAUAGCAAGUUAAGAAAGGUUGAAACACACGUGGUGGAGAAGCUAGAAAUCAGUCGUCAUGACUUGGCCAAUGCUGAUGAUGGAAUGUUAGGUGAAAUUAAUCGCUUGAAGGCAAUUAAGAUAACUGAUGGGGGGUCCGACUGCGAGGGUCAUUUUUUACCAAUUGCUGGGUUCAAGGCCCAGAAAAAUCAUGAGCCUAAGUUUAAACCUGCUGGCUUUUAGAGGUUCAUUACUUGAUGGUGGAUAUUGCUUAGUUGGGUAUUAUGUGUUAGCAUUAUGUAUUAUGUAGGUCCCUUUUUUGUAUAUCUAUGGGGCCACUGAACUAAGUAUUGUAUUUAAUUAAGUGUGAUGCUAGAUGUCCUAUGUUACAAGUACAUGUAGUGUGGUGAACUUGGUAUAUAUCUGGUAUUUGUAACCUUUUGAUAACUGUGACCUGCAGAACUGUAGUUUAAG